rnacentral:rRNA from 1 species
GACGAACGCUGGCGGCGUGCUUAACACAUGCAAGUCGAACGGAAAGGCCCUGCUUUUGUGGGGUGCUCGAGUGGCGAACGGGUGAGUAACACGUGAGUAACCUGCCCUUGACUUUGGGAUAACUUCAGGAAACUGGGGCUAAUACCGGAUAGGAGCUCCUGCUGCAUGGUGGGGGUUGGAAAGUUUCGGCGGUUGGGGAUGGACUCGCGGCUUAUCAGCUUGUUUGUGGGGUAGUGGCGUACCAAGGCUUUGACGGGUGGCCGGCCUGAGAGGGUGGCCGGCCACAUUGGGCUGGAGCUGCGGCCCAGACCCCUCCGGGAGGCAGCAGUGGGGAAUAUUGCACACUGGGCGGAAGCCUGAUCCAGCAACGCCGCGUGCGGGAUGACGGCCUUCGGGUUGUAACCCGCUUUCGCCUGUGACGAAGCGUGAGUGACGGUAAUGGGUAAAGAAGCACCGGCUAACUACGUG